UUACCGAGUUUACAACUCCCAAACCCCUGUGAACAUACCUUAAUGUUGCCUCGGCGGAUCAGCCCGCGCCCCGUAAAACGGGACGGCCCGCCAGAGGACCCAAACUCUAAUGUUUCUUAUUGUAACUUCUGAGUAAAACAAACAAAUAAAUCAAAACUUUCAACAACGGAUCUCUUGGUUCUGGCAUCGAUGAAGAACGCAGCAAAAUGCGAUAAGUAAUGUGAAUUGCAGAAUUCAGUGAAUCAUCGAAUCUUUGAACGCACAUUGCGCCCGCUGGUAUUCCGGCGGGCAUGCCUGUUCGAGCGUCAUUUCAACCCUCAAACCCCCGGGUUUGGUGUUGGGGAUCGGCUCUGCCUCACGGCGGUGCCGCCCCCGAAAUACAUUGGCGGUCUCGCUGCAGCCUCCAUUGCGUAGUAGCUAACACCUCGCAACUGGAACGCGGCGCGGCCAUGCCGUAAAACCCCAACUUCUGAAUGUUGACCUCGGAUCAGGUAGGAAUACCCGCUGAACUUAAGCAUAUCAAUA
rnacentral:rRNA from 1 species